rnacentral:rRNA from 1 species
AGUCGAACGGAUUUUUNGUCAUAGCUUGCUAUGAUAAAAAUUAGUGGCAGACGGGUGAGUAAUGCAUAGGAAUCUACCUAGUAGUAUGGGAUAGCCACUAGAAAUGGUGGGUAAUACUGUAUAAUCCCUGCGGGGGAAAGAUUUAUCGCUAUUAGAUGAGCCUAUGUUAGAUUAGCUAGUUGGUAGGGUAAAGGCCUACCAAGGCAGUGAUCUAUAGCUGGUCUGAGAGGAUGAUCAGCCACACUGGAACUGAGAUACGGUCCAGACUCCUACGGGAGGCAGCAGUGGGGAAUAUUGGACAAAUGGGCGCAAGCCUGAUCCAGCUAUGCCGCGUGA